UACGGAGGGUGCGAGCGUUGUCCGGAAUCACUGGGCGUAAAGGGCGCGUAGGCGGCCUGGUAAGUAGGGGGUGAAAUCCUGCGGCUUAACCGCAGGGCUGCCUUCUAAACUGUCAGGCUAGAGCACGGUAGAGGCAGAUGGAAUUCCCGGUGUAGCGGUGGAAUGCGUAGAGAUCGGGAGGAACACCAAUGGCGAAGGCAGCUCGCUGGGACGGUACUGACGCUGAGGCGCGAAAGCGUGGGGAGCAAACAGG
rnacentral:rRNA from 1 species